rnacentral:rRNA from 1 species
CCUACGGGAGGCAGCAGUGGGGAAUAUUGGGCAAUGGGCGCAAGCCUGACCCAGCAACGCCGCGUGAAGGAAGAAGGCCCUCGGGUUGUAAACUUCUUUUUACAGGGGCGAAGAAAGUGACGGUACCUGUUGACUAAGCCACGGCUAACUACGUGACAUCAGCCGCGGUAAUACGUAGGUGGCCAGCGUUAUCCGGAUUUACUGGGUGUAAAGGGUGUGUAGGCGGGAGAGCAAGUCAGACGGGAAAUUCUAGGGCUCAACCCUGGAACGGCGUUUGAAACUGUUCUUCUUGAGUGAUGGAGAGGAAGGCGGAAUGCGUGGUGUAGCGGUGAAAUGCGUAGAUAUAAGGAGGAACACC